UAGGAGCAGCUGGACAUGGAGUAGCAGUACCUGUACCUGGAAUGUGCUGAAGAGGAUAAGAGGAGAGAUCAACACAAAGUUGCAGACCAGGAGGUGAAGCCGGGGAGGUGCUGGGUUGUGCCGCUACUGAAUCCUGCAAUUCAGAACCUGUUCCUGCACAAUAAUCAUUGGAAAGACAAGCACGUGGUGACAGUAUGGCUGUGUGGGGUGG
rnacentral:lncRNA from 1 species